rnacentral:lncRNA from 1 species
GUGAAAAAAUACGGCCAGUAGUAAUUGGAUUACGGUGGUUGAUUGCUUUCAAAGUACUUACCGUGGUGUAUUAAUAUUACAUCUGGUGACUUCUGGAGUGUCUCGCUGAUAGAAUGUGGGCUGUCAGAAGAAAGAACACCGUUGCAAAUCUGAUCAGAUCUCCCCUGUGGUCCUGAAAUCGCUGGAGAGGGGAUUCACAUCCAGG